AAAAUAAUCCUACCCUUUGUGAAUUUUGUUUAUUUGAAUAAUUUUUUUUUUUUAAAAAAUUAUUGGAGUCUUUCCCUUUAGAGUUUGCUUUUGAGUUUGUAAAAGAAUUCGAAAACAUCUAAAGGGGAUGGUCAAUAAUUUUUUUUGAAAAAAGACAUUUUUUAAAAUUAAACUUUUUGUAUUCAUUUGUCUAAAAAUUAUUUUUAUAAUAUAAAAACAACUUUUGACAAUGGAUCUCUUGGUUCUCGCAACGAUGAAGAACGCAGCAAAAUGCGAUAAGUAGUGUGAAUUGCAGAAUACGUGAAUCAUCGAAUCUUUGAACGCAUAUUGCACUUUUUAGUUUACUAAAAAAGUAUGUCUGUUUGAGUAUCAGUAAAAUAUUCUCAUAAAAAUCAUUGUGUAUUUUUAUGGUUAUGAGUGUUUUACAACGAUACAAGUUGUUUCACUUUAAAUUUUUUUUUAAUAUUGAAAUUUUUCUAAUUUUAAUAAUUAAAAUUGGAUAAAAUUUUCCCGUCAAAAGGAGUAACCUAAACAAUUUUAAAUGAUUAAUUUUAGCAAAAUUUUCGUAAAAAGGAAAAUUUUUAUUAAAAUAACUUGAUCUCAAAUCAGAUAAGAGUACCCGCUGAACUUAAGCAUAUCAAUAAGCGGAGGAAAAGAAACUAACAAGGAUUCCCUUAGUAACGGCGAGUGAAGCGGGAAGAGCUCAAAUUUGAAAUCUUCAAGGUUUUACCUUGACGAAUUGUAGUUUAAAGAAGUGUUUUCUGCUGAAGUUUUGGUAAAAGUUCUUUGGAAUAGGACAUCAUAGAGGGUGAGAAUCCCGUAUUUGACCAUUAUUUUCAGCUUUGUGAUACACUUUCAAAGAGUCGGAUUGUUUGGGAAUGCAGUCCAAAAUGGGUGGUAAAUUUCAUCUAAAGCUAAAUAUUGGCGAGAGACCGAUAGCGAACAAGUACCGUGAGGGAAAGAUGAAAAGAACUUUGAAAAGAGAGUUAAACAGUACGUGAAAUUGUCAAAAGGGAAGCGUUUGACACCAGUGUUGUUUUCUCGAAAAUCAAUUAAAAAUGGCUCGAUUUUGUAUUGCUUGAGACCUUAAAAGCUCACUGUACAUUUUUCGUGUCUUUUUUAAUGCACUUUUCGUUUAACAAGUCAACAUCAGUUUCUUUUGUUGUAAAAGGGUCAUUGGAAGGUGGCUUUCUUUCGGAGAAAGUGUUUAUAGCCUUUGGCCUCUGCAAUCGGAGAGACUGAGGUCUGCAGCGUAGACUCUUCGGGGUUAGAUACAUUUGUGCUAAGUUAUAGCUUUUUAUAGACAACUUGUUGACUAUAAUUAGUCUUGUAGCUUACUCGCUUAUGCUAUUU
rnacentral:misc_RNA from 1 species